ACAAUCUAUACGACAGCAGAGAUCCUGUAGACUGCACUGCAGAGCACAUCUAAAACAUGAGGACCACUUUCACCAUAAGGGGCAAAUUGUUGCUGCCCAUCUAUGUCGUUUGGAUCCUCUUCACUGCAGCUGAUGGCUCAUGUCGUGUAUGCCCACCCUGCUGUUUUCAGGGGUCAGACCGGAUCAAAGGGGAAAUCAUAAAGUGUUUUGAACAAACAGCAGGAGGACCCUGUUCAAAACAUUUCUUUCUAGUUACACUUAAAGGAGGGGGAGAAUAUUGCAUCAACCCAGAUUCACACUGGUUUAAAGAGAAGAAAAAGGAGGAAAAGCUUUUCUGCUCUGUAUACAAUGAGAAACCAUUCAUCAAAUCACCAGCUUCUUCAAGCAAAACCAAAGGAGGGACUGCCGUCUAGACGCCUACCUGUGAGGAAGCACAUGAACUGGCAACGAUAAAGGCAAGUUAAG